CCCCCCGACUCUCUGACCCGAUGUGGUUUUUUUGUGUGUUACGUGGAUUUGCAGUGCCAUGGUGUCCGAGUGUGGGGCAGGAUCCAGGUGUUGGGGGAUGCACGAAGGGGAGCUUUAAGCCAGAAAAGGACUUGAAUCGUGGUCGUCUUCACCUCAGGACAAGUUUGGUAUUCACAGAGCGGCGUCAGCCCUGCAUAUGCCCCGGGUGGUGCUGA
rnacentral:lncRNA from 13 species